rnacentral:pre_miRNA from 1 species
CAUGCACCAGUGGGGUCCUUUGGCCGAGCCUGUACCCUCUUGCAAGCCGGGACCCCUCAGGGGAUGUCUGCAGGCCAGGCCAAGGGACUCCACUGGUGCACA